rnacentral:rRNA from 1 species
CGGUGAAUACGUUCCCGGACCUUGCACACACCGCCCGUCAAGCCAUGGAAGCCGGGUGUACCUAAAGUCGGUAACUGUAAGGAGCCGCCUAGGGUAAAACUGGUGACUGGGGCU